GGGGAUGUAGCUCAGUUGGGAGAGCAUCGCCUUUGCAAGGCGAGGGUCACGGGUUCGAGUCCCGUCAUCUCCA
rnacentral:tRNA from 2 species